UACGUAGGGGGGCUAGCGUUGUUCGGAUUUACUGGGCGUAAAGCGCACGUAGGCGGUUUGUUAAGUCAGGGGUGAAAUCCCAGAGCUCAACUCUGGAACUGCCUUUGAUACUGGCAAGCUAGAGUCCGGAAGAGGUAAGUGGAACUCCUAGUGUAGAGGUGGAAUUCGUAGAUAUUAGGAAGAACACCAGUGGCGAAGGCGGCUUACUGGUCCGGAACUGACGUUCAGGUACGAAAGCGUGGGUAGCAAACA
rnacentral:rRNA from 1 species